rnacentral:sRNA from 1 species
CAUACGCGUCCAACUGCAUAAGAAACACUAAAAGAAUGUAAUUCAUAGUGUUUCUAAAAUUUAUUCAGGUU